rnacentral:lncRNA from 13 species
GGUGACUACUCUUGGGUAUAGAAGGCCGUCUUUGAGAAAACAUUCUGCUGAACACCCAACAUACACACUUGCAGAACUCAUUUUCAUAAAGAUCCCAUAUAUGCCUCUUUAGGGGAGCAAUUGAUAAAAACCAACACCCACUGAAAAAUACCUUUUCCUUCUAAAAAUAUCACCCUCAAACUGAAAUCCAUAUAGUCAUCUAAUAUGACAUUUUGUCUAACUUGGAUGAAAGUAUCAGUAUGACCCACUUUUAAACUUGAACAUAGUAACAAACUUCCAGUGGUUUUUUUUUUUUUUAAGAAGGAUUCUUGUUCUGUCACCAGGCUGGAGUGCAGUGGUGCGAUCUGGGUUCAUUGCAACUUCUGCCUCCCAGGUUCAAGUGAUUCUCCUGCCUCAGCCUCCUGAGUAGAUGGGAUUGUAUGCAUCCACCACCAUGCCUGGCUAAUUUUUAUAUUUUUGUAGAGAUGGGGUUUUACCAUGUUGACCAGGAUGGCCUUGAUCUCUUGACCUCGUGAUCUCCCUGCCACGGCCUCCCUGAACUGCUGGAAUUACAGGCUUCCAAGUGAGAAGUUCAGGGCUUCACAAUUGAGAACCAGAAAGAAAAGGAGAAACUGGCCUUUGUUGAGUAUCAACUGUCAACAUUCUUGGAUAAGAAAGGUAUUGUUUGUUUUCUCUCUUACAAAACACAAAAUGGUUAACUUGAGAAAUUAAGAUACCUGCCUUGGUAAGUGACACUUUCAAAAAUCACAGCACUUUCCACCUUCCCAAAUUCCUACUUAAAUCAGUUCAACUUCACUGGGGCAUAUUUGAGGCUGGCUGACUACCACUCAUGCACUUUUGCGAAGGAGUCUUGUGCCUUGUCCCUGAUGACACUGUUGGUUCUUUAUGUCCUAGAUGCUAUUGGUGGGAUGCGGAAGUGAUGACUGAUUGAAAAGUGUUAAACAGACUAAUCAAGUGAUUCCUAGGCUGAGAUGGCUCCAGGGCCUUAGAUUCCUACAUAUACAAAGUGAGACAACUCAAUGUAAAUAACAUUCUGUUUUAUUUAUUUUUUAAAUAAACUC